rnacentral:rRNA from 1 species
AGUAGUUUGAUCAGUGGCUGAGGACGACGCUGGCGGCGUGCCUAACACAUGCAAGUCGAGCGGAGUCGGUAAGAGGAAGUUUUCGGAUGGAAUCUUAUUGAUUUAGCGGCGGACGGGUGAGUAACGCGUGACGCGACCAACCUUGCACAAGGGGAUAACGGACCGAAAGGUUCACUAAUACCGCAUGAGACCACGGUGUUGCAUGACACAGAGGUCAAAGGAGCAAUCCGGUGCAAGACGGGCUCGCGUCCGAUUAGGUAGUUGGAGGGGUAACGGCCCACCAAGCCUAUGAUCGGUAGCCGACCUGAGAGGGUGAUCGGCCACAUUGGAACUGAGAUACGGUCCAAACUCCUACGGGAGGCAGCAGUGGGGAAUAUUGGGCAAAUGGGGGAAACCCUGACCCAGCAACGCCGCGUGAAGGAAGAAGGCUUUCGGAUUGUAAACUUCUGUCCUUGGUGAAGAGAAGAAGACGGUAGCCAAGGAGGAAGCCCCGGCUAACUACGUGCCAGCCGCCGC